rnacentral:rRNA from 1 species
GACGAACGCUGGCGGCGUGCUUAACACAUGCAAGUCGAACGGAAAGGCCUCUUUCGGGAGGUACUCGAGUGGCGAACGGGUGAGUAACACGUGAGUAACCUGCCCUUGACUUUGGGAUAACUUCAGGAAACUGGGGCUAAUACCGGAUAGGAGCUCCUGCUGCAUGGUGGGGGUUGGAAAGUUUCGGCGGUUGGGGAUGGACUCGCGGCUUAUCAGCUUGUUGGUGGGGUAGUGGCUUACCAAGGCUUUGACGGGUAGCCGGCCUGAGAGGGUGACCGGCCACAUUGGGACUGAGAUACGGCCCAGACUCCUACGGGAGGCAGCAGUGGGGAAUAUUGCACAAUGGGUGGAAGCCUGAUGCAGCAACGCCGUGUGCGGGAUGACGGCCUUCGGGUUGUAAACCGCUUUCGCUCAUGACGAAGCUUUGUGUGACGGUAGUGGGUAAAGAAGCACCGGCUAACUACGUG